CAUGGCCGCCCCGCCCAGUUUGGUCGAACGUCUUUCGCGCCGCGCACCGCGUGUAAUUUUCUGACUUUUCCUUGUGCUUUUCCUCGCCCUUUUCUUGUCGAGUCUUUCUUUUUAUUCGCUUUCACUCUAUAUUACGCCGAAAAAACGCGAGUGCCAGCCCUCCAACGUAGAAGAAUCUCAGUCUGUCUGGAAUCGCCGAACGGUACGUGCAAACGAUAAUGAACACCCGAUUGUAUGUAUGUACAAACGAAAAUGUACUUCAGAACAUAUGUAAGUAAAUAGAUCAUUUAACAGU